AAGUAAAUGCAACCGCUGGAAUCCAGACCCUAAUGAGGCAGAGUCUGUUCUUAACCACUGUCUGUACUAAAGGUGAUUUAAAACAGGUUUUGGUAAAUGUCCAAUUCCAAUAAUAUGUUAACAUUUUCAGUGUCAAUCCAGGUUAAAAAGAGGUGGAUCAAAAAAGAUCUUGCAGGACUUCACUGGUGGCGCAGUGGUUGAGAAUCUGCCUGCCAAUGCAAGGGACACAGGUUCGAGCCCUGGUCUGGGAAGAUCCCACAUGCCACGAAGCAACUGGGCCCGUGAGCCACAAUUACUGAGCCUGCGCAUCUGGAGCCUGUGCUCCGCAACAAGAGGCCGCGAUAGUGAGAGGCCCGCGCACCACGAUGAAGAGUGGCCACCACUUGCC